rnacentral:rRNA from 1 species
AUUGAACGCUGGCGGCAGGCCUAACACAUGCAAGUCGAACGAGUGGCGGACGGGUGAGUAAUGUCUGGGAAACUGCCUGAUGGAGGGGGAUAACUACUGGAAACGGUAGCUAAUACAGCAUACCAUCGGAUGUGCCCAGCUGGGAUUAGCUAGUAGGUGGGGUAAAGGCUCACCUAGGCGACGAUCCCUAGCUGGUCUGAGAGGAUGACCAGCCAAACUGUAACUGAGACUCGGUCCAGACUCCUACGUGGGGCAGCAGUGGGGAAUAGUGCACAAUGGGAGCAAGCCUGAUGCAGCCAUGCAGCGUGUAUGAAGAAGUCCUUCGGGUUGUAAAGUACUGUCAGCGGGGAGGCGUUACCCGCAGAAGAAGCACCGGCUAACUCCGUGCCAGCAGCCGCGGUAAUUC